AUACGGAGGAUUCGAGCGUUAUCCGGAAUUAUUGGGUUUAAAGGGUGCGCAGGCGGACCGUUAAGUCAGCGGUGAAAAUCUGGUGCUUAACAUCAGGAGUGCCGUUGAUACUGGCGGACUAGAGUAUGAUUGACGUAAGUGGAAUGUAGCAUGUAGCGGUGAAAUGCAUAGAGAUGCUACAGAACACCGAUAGCGAAGGCAGCUUACGAAGUCACAACUGACGCUCAGGCACGAAAGCGUGGGGAGCGAACAGGAUUAGAUACCCUGGUAGUCCACGCAGUAAACGAUGAUAACUGGCUUUUGGCGAUAGACGGUCAGAGGCUGAGAGAAAUCAAUAAGGUAUCCACCUGGGGAGUACGAUGGCAACAUUGAAACUCAAAGGAAUUGACGGGG
rnacentral:rRNA from 1 species